UAAAAGGAUGGUCUAUCUUUUUAAAAUUUUUUAUAAAUUCUAUAUCUCGAACCAUCCUCUUACAUGAAGACUUGUUAGAUAUUGCAGAAGUUGAAAAAAUCUCAAUCAUUUUUAAAAUUUAUCUAAUUUGGAGGUGUUUGACAAAGUAAUCAUAAGGAUUUACAAGCUUCAAAUCAAGUGAAAACAACUCAAAAAGGCUUGGAAUGGAUCACAAAACCACAAAACACAGCUUGACGCCAAUUUGGACACCUAAAAAGUAUUGGGAGAGUGUGGGUGCAUGGGAAGGAUUCUGGGAGUGUACAUCGCUCCAAUGGAUUCAGAAGGUAUGCAAAAUAGUGAACCAACGCAAUUUAGAUGCGACGCGACGCCCUUCAACGCGUUAAUCACUGGGUUCGCAGACGACCAGAAACUGUUUCCUUGUUCAACAAGGCAUGGGCUAUUUCUUCUACUAUAAAUAGGACCCGUUUUUACUUACUUUUGAACGUCUUGGAAGAUUAAGGAGGCUACCAUAACUUCUUUUUAGGGUUUAUAUCUCUUUUCUUUAGUUUCUUUCAUGGUUUGUAUCAUCAAUCCAAGGGAUUGGAUGAUGACUAUUUCCAUUAAAGGCUAAAACUCUUUUUCUAGGGUUAAGGCCACAUUUAUGAUUACUUUUUGAAUUAAUUUUGUUUGAUUUGUG